rnacentral:rRNA from 1 species
UACGAAGGGGGCGAGCGUUGUUCGGAAUUACUGGGCGUAAAGGGCGCGCAGGCGGCGCAAGAAGUCAGGCGUGAAAGCCCCGGGCUCAACCUGGGAGGUGCGCUUGAUACUCUUGUGCUGGAGUACGGGAGAGGAGAGUGGAAUUCCCAGUGUAGAGGUGAAAUUCGUAGAUAUUGGGAAGAACACCGGUGGCGAAGGCGGCUCUCUGGACCGUAACUGACGCUGAGGCGCGAAAGCGUGGGGAGCAAACAGG